GCCCAGGUGGCGUAAUGGUAAACGCGCAUGUUCGAGGGGCAUGUGCCCUAAUAAGGCGUGCGGGUUCAAGUCCCGCCCUGGGCACCG
rnacentral:tRNA from 1 species